GUCGUAGUAGCCUGUUGGGGGUCGUCACGAGCAGCACGUGUGUGUCCCGCCUGAUAACCAGGUACACAAGUAACGGAGGAUCCUGUCACGGCGUCAUCUCGUUCUGCCUGUGCUUGAGGUCUCAGCAGUCUGGCGUUGUGGAUGGUUUGUCUACCUCUAAUCCAAGCCAAAAGAGAUUCUGUUGUUCUUGGCCAGGUCACUCUUAUAAAACAGAUUUUCAUCUCAAUUAGUUUUUUAACCUGGUUAAAGAAGUGAUACCCUUACGAAACAAAAAUAUACGGGAAUAUUCUGCAAAAUAUAUUACAAUACUUUUUAUAAUACAUUUCCAUAUAUGUAUAUGUAUUGUAUAUUGUGCACACAUUCACAGAAUGAGUUACAGCAGAUUUCUAGUUCCCAGCAUGCUUUGCUUCUGACUGUUAAAGGAGAGUAAAUCUUAAAAUUAAAAGUUAUUUCAUGUGUUUUUGCUCAGUAUUCAUAUUCGGUGGGGGNGGGGGUGUGUGUGUGUAAUGUUCCAUUAUUUUGGAAUUUGAAAGGGUUUCUGGCAUGUCUGAGUUUUUGGGGUUACCAUUGUUUUAAAGAGUUGAGCGUGUGGUUAGGUUGAUGACUGGGCAAACACCUUUAAGACUAUAUAUUACUUUAUUUAAAAAAGUAAUGGCUGUGCACUCUUCAGCACGCUGAUAGUCUCUUUGCUAAAUACUCAAGUACAUGCAGAUGGGCUUGUGCUGUUGUUAACUAGCUGUAUAUGAACAUAUGAACAAUGUAAAUAAUUAUAAAAAAAAAGAAAUACAUUAUGUAUGUGUGUAUAUACUGUAUGAGUAAAUAUAAGUGCAAUAUAUUUAUACACAUGAAGUAACAUUUUAUCACAUGCACAUCUAUAUGUUAUGA
ensembl:lncRNA